rnacentral:rRNA from 1 species
AUUAUGGCUCAGGAUGAACGCUGGCGGCGUGCCUAACACAUGCAAGUCGAGCGGAGAUAAGUUGAAGCCUAGCGAUUCUUAUCUUAGCGGCGGGAUGGGUGAGUAACACGUGGGUAACCUGCCCUGUACUGGGGAAGUAACAGCUGGAAACGGCUGUUAAUGCCGCAUAUGCGCACGGAGCCGCAUGACUCCGGGCGGAAAGAUUUAUCGGUACAGGAUGGGCCCGCGCCGGAUUAACUAGUUGGCGGGGUAACGGCCCACCAAGGUGAUGAUCCGUAGCCGACCUGAGAGGGUGACCGGCCACAUUGGGACUGAGACACGGCCCAAACUCCUACGGGAGGCAGCAGUGGGGGAUAUUGCACAAUGGGGGAAACCCUGAAUGCAGCGACGCCGCGUGAAGGAUGACGUAUUUCGGUAUGUAAACUUCUAUCAGCGGGGAAGAAGAUGACGGUACCCGACUAAGAAGCCCCGGCUAACUACGUGCCAGCAGCGGC